GAUGAACGCUGGCGGCGUGCCUAAUACAUGCAAGUCGAGCGGACGGACGAGAAGCUUGCUGCUCUGAUGUUAGCGGCGGACGGGUGAGUAACACGUGGAUAACCUACCUAUAAGACUGGGAUAACUUCGGGAAACCGGAGCUAAUACCGGAUGAUAUUUUGAACCGCAUGGUUCAAAAGUGAAAGACGGUCUUGCUGGCACUUAUAGAUGGAUCUGCGCUGCAUUAGCUAGUUGGUAAGGUAACGGCUUACCAAGGCAACGAUGCAUAGCCGACCUGUCAGGCUGAUCGGCCACACUGGAGCUGAGACGCGGUCCAGGGUCCUACGGGAGGCAGCAGUAGGGUAUCUUCCGCAAUGGGCGAAAGCCUGACGGAGCGACGCCGCGUGAGUGAUGAAGGUCUUCGGAUCGUAAAGCUCUGUUAUUAGGGAAGAACAGAUUUGUAAGUAACUGUGCACAGCUUGACGGUACCUAAUCAGAAAGCCACGGCUAACUACGUG
rnacentral:rRNA from 1 species